UACGGGGGGUGCAAGCGUUAAUCGGAAUUACUGGGCGUAAAGCGUGCGCAGGCGGUCUGUUAAGACCGAUGUGAAAUCGCCGGGCUUAACCUGGGAACUGCAUUGGUGACUGGCAGGCUUUGAGUGUGGCAGAGGGGGGUAGAAUUCCACGUGUAGCAGUGAAAUGCGUAGAGAUGUGGAGGAAUACCGAUGGCGAAGGCAGCCUCCUGGGCCAACACUGACGCUCAUGCACGAAAGCGUGGGGAGCAAACAGG
rnacentral:rRNA from 1 species